GAUGAACGCUGGCGGCGUGCUUAACACAUGCAAGUCGAACGAAGCACUUUAACCUGAUUCUUCGGAUGAAGGUUUUUGUGACUGAGUGGCGGACGGGUGAGUAACGCGUGGGUAACCUGCCUCAUAAAGGGGGAUAACAGAUAGAAAUGACUGCUAAUACCGCAUAAGACGACAGAGCCGCAUGGCUCGGUGGGAAAAACUCCGGUGGUAUGAGAUGGACCCGCGUCUGAUUAGGUAGUUGGUGGGGUAACGGCCUACCAAGGCAACGAUCAGUAGCCGACCUGAGAGGGUGACCGGCCACAUUGGGACUGAGACACGGCCCAAACUCCUACGGGAGGCAGCAGUGGGGAAUAUUGCACAAUGGGGGAAACCCUGAUGCAGCGACGCCGCGUGAGCGAAGAAGUAUUUCGGUAUGUAAAGCUCUCUCAGCAGGGAAGAAAAUGACGGUACCUGACUAAGAAGCACCGGCUAACUACGUG
rnacentral:rRNA from 1 species